rnacentral:lncRNA from 1 species
CUUUCAGGUAAGGAGCUAAACAGAACCUGCUGCCUGAAUGGGGGAACCUGCAUGCUGGGGUCCUUUUGUGCCUGCCCUCCCUCCUUCUACGGACGGAACUGUGAGCACGAUGUGCGCAAAGAGUAAGCAAUUCAGAGGGGCGGGGAGCCGUGGAGAGGAGAGAGAAAGGGAAGUGGAAAUUUCAGACCCAAGGCUAUCGCCUUACCUGUUCAUUCUCAGGAACUGUGGGUCUGUGCCCCAUGACACCUGGCUGCCCAAGAAGUGUUCCCUGUGUAAAUGCUGGCACGGUCAGCUCCGCUGCUUUCCUCAGGCAUUUCUACCCGGCUGUGAUGGCCUUGUGAUGGAUGAGCACCUCGUGGCUUCCAGGACUCCAGAACUACCACCGUCUGCACGUACUACCACUUUUAUGCUAGUUGGCAUCUGCCUUUCUAUACAAAGCUACUAUUAAUCGACAUUGACCUAUUUCCAGAAAUACAAUUUUAGAUAUCAUGCAAAUUUCAUGACCAGUAAAGGCUGCUGCUACAAUGUCCUAACUGAAAGAUGAUCAUUUGUAGUUGCCUUAAAAUAAUGAAUACAUUUCCAAAAUGGUCUCUAACAUUUCCUUACAGAACUACUUCUUACUUCUUUGCCCUGCCCUCUCCC